UGUGUUCAGUGUAGAUAGUUAGACAGAUAAAAGGCCAUAUUGGACCUUUGCUUAAAUGAUCAACGACAACGAUUUAUUUCAGAUAAAUGUGAAAGGUUUGCUUUAGGCACUAUUAACUCACUUCUGACUUUUCUCCCAUUGAUUUGGCAUUGUAACUACAGCAUCUACAGCAACUACAGCAAAUAAAACUACAGCAACUACAGCAAAUACAGCAACUACAACAACUACAACAACUACAGCCAGCGACAUCGUUCCUGGAUGGGCAGUUGCUGCCAUAGUUCUGUCUGCUGUGGCUGUCUUCCUCCUUUUGGUCAGCCUAUGUUUUAUAAUCAUUGUUCAGCGGAACUAGCCACAACAUCAACAAAGAUGAACUCUCAAAGCCUAGCAUCUCGGUGUUUACCUGCUAGUGUUAAUCUCUCUGUAUUUUGGGCGUGUUUUGGAUUUACCAUAGAAGUGGCUUCUUGCCGUAUGACAUGGGAAGAGACGCAUUAUUACAUUGUGUAACUUCAGUAACUGUGUAUUAUAAAUAUGAAUAAAAUAUAAACUGACUUA